CGUGCUUAACACAUGCAUUUCGAACGGAAAGGCCCUGCUUUUGUGGGGUGCUCGAGUGGCGAACGGGUGAGUAACACGUGAGUAACCUGCCCUUGACUUUGGGAUAACUUCAGGAAACUGGGGCUAAUACCGGAUAGGAGCUCCUGCUGCAUGGUGGGGGUUGGAAAGUUUCGGCGGUUGGGGAUGGACUCGCGGCUUAUCAGCUUGUUGGUGGGGUAGUGGCUUACCAAGGCUUUGACGGGUAGCCGGCCUGAGAGGGUGACCGGCCACAUUGGGACUGAGAUACGGCCCAGACUCCUACGGGAGGCAGCAGUGGGGAAUAUUGCACAAUGGGCGGAAGCCUGAUGCAGCAACGCCGCGUGCGGGAUGACGGCCUUCGGGUUGUAAACCGCUUUCGCCUGUGACGAAGCGUGAGUGACGGUAAUGGGUAAAGAAGCACCGGCUAACUACGUGCCAGCAGCCGCGGUGAUACGUAGGGUGCGAGCGUUGUCCGGAUUUAUUGGGCGUAAAGGGCUCGUAGGUGGUUGAUCGCGUCGGAAGUGUAAUCUUGGGGCUUAACCCUGAGCGUGCUUUCGAUACGGGUUGACUUGAGGAAGGUAGGGGAGAAUGGAAUUCCUGGUGGAGCGGUGGAAUGCGCAGAUAUCAGGAGGAACACCAGUGGCGAAGGCGGUUCUCUGGGCCUUUCCUGACGCUGAGGAGCGAAAGCGUGGGGAGCGAACAGGCUUAGAUACCCUGGUAGUCCACGCUGUAAACGGUGGGUACUAGGUGUGGGGUCCAUUCCACGGGUUCCGUGCCGUAGCUAACGCUUUAAGUACCCCGCCUGGGGAGUACGGCCGCAAGGCUAAAACUCAAAGGAAUUGACGGGGCCCCGCACAAGCGGCGGAGCAUGCGGAUUAAUUCGAUGCAACGCGUAGAACCUUACCUGGGUUUGACAUGGAUCGGGAGUGCUCAGAGAUGGGUGUGCCUCUUUUGGGGUCGGUUCACAGGUGGUGCAUGCCUGUCGUCAGCUCGUGUCGUGAGAUGUUGGGUUAAGUCCCGCAACGAGCGCAACCCUUGUUCACUGUUGCCAGCACGUUAUGGUGGGGACUCAGUGGAGACCGCCGGGGUCAACUCGGAGGAAGGUGGGGAUGACGUCAAGUCCUCAUGCCCCUUAUGUCCAGGGCUUCACGCAUGCUACAAUGGCUGGUACAGAGAGUGGCGAGCCUGUGAGGGUGAGCGAAUCUCGGAAAGCCGGUCUCAGUUCGGAUUGGGGUCUGCAACUCGACCUCAUGAAGUCGGAGUCGCUAGUAAUCGCAGAUCAGCAACGCUGCGGUGAAUAAAUUCCCGGGGCU
rnacentral:rRNA from 1 species